UGAUCUUUAGGGUAAUUGGCAACCCGACCGCUUUUGGUGCGGUAGAGUCUUUGUUCGAAUCAAAGAAGAUCAG
rnacentral:tRNA from 2 species